rnacentral:rRNA from 1 species
GGUCCUACGGGACGCAGCAGUGAGGAAUAUUGGUCAAUGGGCUUACGCCUGAACCAGCCAAGUCGCGUGAGGGAAGACUGCCCUAUGGGUUGUAAACCUCUUUUGUCAGGGAGCUACGCCGGCUACGUGUAGCCGGACUGAGAGUACCUGAAGAAAAAGCAUCGGCUAACUCCGUGCCAGCAGCCGCGGUAAUACGGAGGGGGCAAGCGUUAUCCGGAUUUACUGGGUGUAAAGGGAGCGUAGACGGAAAGGCAAGUCAGAAGUGAAAGCCCAAGGCUCAACCAUGGGACUGCUUUUGAAACUGU